rnacentral:misc_RNA from 1 species
UGAUGAAGAACGUAGUGAAAUGCGAUAAGUAAUGUGAAUUGCAGAAUUCAGUGAAUCAUCGAAUCUUUGAACGCACAUUGCGCCCAUUAGUAUUCUAGUGGGCAUGCCUGUUCGAGCGUCAUUAAUUCCACUUAAGCCCUGCUUAGUGUUGGGAAUCUACUCUAGUGGUGCUACCCUGGAGCUACCCCUGAAAGGGGGCUGGCCCGGUAGCUACCCUGUAGUUCCUCAAAGAUAGUGCGCGGAGUUGCGUGGUCCUCUGAGCUUAGUAACUAUACACCUAGCUUUUGAGUGUCCCGCGGCGCCUGCCGUUUAAACCCCAUCUUUUAAUGGUUGACCUCGGAUCAGGUAGGAAUACCCGCUGAACUUAAGCAUAUCAAUAAGCGGAGGA